rnacentral:lncRNA from 1 species
CUUGUGCCGCUGAGGCCACAGAUUGAGGCGCUGGGGCACAGUGUUAGGCGAGUCGUAUGGCUAAUGUUGUAGAGAUCGAAAUUUCGGUGAAAACAAAUGUUCACCAACGUAUUAAAGUUUUGACGUGUCAGGGCAUACAUGGCAUAUGCCACGUGUUGUAUGAAUUGUACACAUGGCGUGUGACUCAACAAAAUAAGAAGAAAUACACUUGAAGGAUUAAACAAGUUUCUCUUCUCAUUUUGGGCAAUGACAAGGUAAGCACACUUCAAUCCAUUGAGGAUCAAAACAAGUUUUUCUUCUCAUUUUGGGCAAUGACAAGACAAGCACACUUCAAUCCAUUACAGAUCAAAGCAAGUUUUUCUCAUUUGGGCAAUGACAAAGCAUGCACAUUUCAAGUUUAAAAUGGUAUUAAAUGAGAAAUUAGGCCAUAAGUUAGACCACUUCAAGUUUAAAAUGGUAUUAAGUGGGAAAUUAGGCCAUAAGUUAUAUCACUUCAAUUCAAUAUUGCAUUAAGUGGGAAAAUUUGGCAAUGGUGCUUGGAAAAGAAAAAAAUAUUUUGUGAUGGUGAUUCAUUCUCAAAGCCUAUAAAUAGGGUUCUCCAUCAAGGUAUCAAUGAUCCUAAAAUUCACAAAUACAUUUCUCUACUCCCAAAAUGGAAGAGAAUACUCCCCACACAUCCAAAAUCCUUGAAGCUUUGAAACUCUAAAGCUUUUAAGAAAAUCCCGAAGGAUCAAGAAAACCCUCUUCGUUCUUCGUCAAAUCCUUCUUCAAGAUCAAGCCUCGACAGCCCUUGAAGAAAGUGUUCAUCAUUCAUCA